CUUCAAGAAAGUUAGAAGUGCGCGGCGCGUGUUAAAAGUCGAGUUAUAGUUAUUCCUUAAAAGCUAAUUGUUAAAAAGCUUAAAAUAAAGUGUUAGUAGUGCAGUUAGUAAAUUAUUAAAGGGUGCUGUGUGGCUAAUAAAAGCGGUUCGCAUUCCAAGGGAAUUGCG